CAAUAAUCAUUAUAUUAACUAAAUUUGAUAUAAUUAUAUGGCUAUGACACAACGUGUGCUCUGAUUGGCUGAUUUCUGGUCUGAUAUUUUCCCAUAUCAGAACGUUACCAUGGCAAUCGGUCCAGACUGCAUAUCAUUACCAGAAAGCGAAAAAUAUGAUUAGAAAAACCAAGUCAGACAUGAACAUACUACAUAAA